CAAACCGAAAGGAUCAAAGACGUAAUCUCCAACCAACGAACCAUCAAGCCACUCAGGACGAAGCAGCGGCGGCGGUGGGAGUUGCGGCCAUCUCCGGCGGUGUUUUAUGUUAUAAUGACGUUUUGACAAAGACACUUCUGUCUUGUUAAAAUCUGCUUCAGUUACUUAUAAGAUGGGAGCUGUCUAGUCUUUGAGAGGAUCAUAACCGUUGGAUCAAAUGACGAAUACAUCUGACGAUAGCAAAAGAAGGCAUUAGGAGAAUCAAAAUGAGAAUCAAACUUAACAGCUGCUUCAGUUUUCAUUCAUUCGAUUGUGUUAGGAGGAGGAGGAGUUGCUGAGUUCGCAAUCACAAGUAUAUAUAUCUGAAAGAUGAGAUACCUGCUGCUUGGCAUGCUUUUCAGGGCAUUGGGGACAAAGCCACGGUACAACUGUACAAGCCAAUAACUCCUUCACGCUCAACGAUGCCUACAAAACGGUUUAAGGAUAAACCGUCCAGAUCAGUCUUCCGUUUCUUGAAAAUGGUAUCCAAGGGAUAGCAAGUACCAGAGUAGAGGUCAUGCCAGCACAAGCACCAGCACCAAGACUUCCAAGAACAGACAAUUCACCGUCUUCUCUGCUAAAGAGUUUCUGAAUUAAAAAAAAAAAAACAUAAAAAGACAGUUUUGAAACUUGUCAAA